UAAAAGAUACUCCUCAAUGUAGCUCGAUCACCAACCUUAUAACAUUCUUAAUCCAUACCAUCUUCCACCUCAUAAAACCAGAUUUUUCAAUACGAGAAACCAUCACAACACAACAAUUAUUUCUCAUGAUAUUAUGACUUUCUAAAGCAUCCUAUGUACCCAUUUUUUUCAAUUCUUUUCUCUCUUUUCUUUUCUUUUUUCUUCUCUUUCUUUUCCCUUUUUUUUUCCUUUUUUUUUCUAACGACUUGUAGGGUACUAGGAUUUUUUUCAAUCAAGAUCAAAGUACAUAAUCCAUAAACACACAUCUCCACAAACCAACUACCCCAUAACAACAAUCUCCAAGCUCCCACCCACGGCUAAACCAAAUA
rnacentral:lncRNA from 1 species